rnacentral:piRNA from 1 species
UAUUUUUUGUUGGAACUUAAAAUUGCU